rnacentral:tRNA from 1 species
GAUAAAAUGGCUGAGGUUAGGCGAUAAAUUGUAAAUUUAUUAACGAAAUAGUUAUUUCUUUUAUCA